rnacentral:rRNA from 1 species
GGUGCUAAUACCGCAUAACCAUAGUUACCGCAUGGUAACUAUGUAAAAGGUGGCUAUGCUACCGCUUUUGGAUGGGCCCGCGACGCAUUAGCUAGUUGGUGGGGUAAAGGCUUACCAAGGCAAUGAUGCGUAGCCGAACUGAGAGGUUGAUCGGCCACAUUGGGACUGAGACACGGCCCAAACUCCUACGGGAGGCAGCAGUAGGGAAUCUUCCACAAUGGGCGAAAGCCUGAUGGAGCAACGCCGCGUGGGUGAAGAAGGUCUUCGGAUCGUAAAACCCUGUUGUUAGAGAAGAAAGUGCGUGAGAGUAACUGUUCACGUUUCGACGGUAUCUAACCAGAAAGCCACGGCUAACUACGUGCCAGCAGCCGCGGUAAUACGUAGGUGGCAAGCGUUAUCCGGAUUUAUUGGGCGUAAAGAGAACGCAGGCGGUCUUUUAAGUCUGAUGUGAAAGCCUUCGGCUUAACCGGAGUAGUGCAUUGGAAACUGGGAGACUUGAGUGCAGAAGAGGAGAGUGGAACUCCAUGUGUAGCGGUGAAAUGCGUAGAUAUAUGGAAGAACACCAGUGGCGAAAGCGGCUCUCUGGUCUGUAACUGACGCUGAGGUUCGAAAGCGUGGGUAGCAAACAGGAUUAGAUACCCUGGUAGUCCACGCCGUAAACGA